rnacentral:rRNA from 1 species
UGGGGAAUCUUGGACAAUGGGCGCAAGCCUGAUCCAGCCAUGCCGCGUGAGUGAAGAAGGCCUUCGGGUUGUAAAGCUCUUUUGUCAGGGACGAUAAUGACGGUACCUGAAGAAUAAGCCCCGGCAAACUUCGUGCCAGCAGCCGCGGUAAUACGAAGGGGGCUAGCGUUGUUCGGAAUUACUGGGCGUAAAGCGCACGUAGGCUGAUUGUUAAGUCAGGGGUGAAAUCCCAGAGCUCAACUCUGGAACUGCCCUUGAUACUGGCAAUCUCGAGUCCGGAAGAGGUUAGUGGAAUUCCCAGUGUAGAGGUGAAAUUCGUAGAUAUUGGGAAGAACACCAGUGGCGAAGGCGGCUAACUGGUCCGGUACUGACGCUGAGGUGCGAAAGCGUGGGGAGCAAACAGGAUUAGAUACCCAAGUAGUCCCUGAGCGGGCUGGCAAG